rnacentral:rRNA from 1 species
AGCGCAGGUGGUUUAUUAAGUCUGGUGUAAAAGGCAGUGGCUCAACCAUUGUAUGCAUUGGAAACUGGUAGACUUGAGUGCAGGAGAGGAGAGUGGAAUUCCAUGUGUAGCGGUGAAAUGCGUAGAUAUAUGGAGGAACACCGGUGGCGAAAGCGGCUCUCUGGCCUGUAACUGACACUGAGGCUCGAAAGGCGUGGGGAAGCAAACA